rnacentral:tRNA from 1 species
GCAUUGGUUGUUCAGUGGUAGAAUUCUUGCCUUCCAUGCAGGAGACCUGGGUUCUAUUUCCGGCCAAUGCA